rnacentral:misc_RNA from 1 species
UUUCCGUAGGUGAACCUGCGGAAGGAUCAUUAACGAGUUAGGGUCUUCUAGGCCCGACCUCCCAACCCUAUGUUUAUUGAACCUCUGUUGCUUCGGCGGACUCGCCUCACGGCCGCCGGAGGACCGCUGCAAGGCGUCCUCUGGCCAGCGUCCGCCGAUGGCCAACCACUUAAACUCUGAAUGAAUCGUGUCAUAUGUCUAAGUCUAUGAUUAAAUUAAAGCAAAACUUUCAACAACGGAUCUCUUGGUUCUG